AGGACGAACGCUGGCGGCGUGCUUAACACAUGCAAGUCGAACGGUAAGGCCCCUUCGGGGGUACACGAGUGGCGAACGGGUGAGUAACACGUGGGUAAUCUGCCCUGCACUUCGGGAUAAGCCUGGGAAACUGGGUCUAAUACCGGAUAUGAACUCCUGCCGCAUGGUGGGGGUUGGAAAGUUUUUCGGUGCAGGAUGAGCCCGCGGCCUAUCAGCUUGUUGGUGGGGUAAUGGCCUACCAAGGCGACGACGGGUAGCCGGCCUGAGAGGGUGAUCGGCCACACUGGGACUGAGACACGGCCCAGACUCCUACGGGAGGCAGCAGUGGGGAAUAUGCACAAUGGGCGAAAGCCUGAUGCAGCGACGCCGCGUGGGGGAUGACGGUCUUCGGAUUGUAAACCCCUUUCAGUAGGGACGAAGCGCAAGUGACGGUACCUGCAGAGAAGCACGGCUAACUACGUACCAGCAGCCGC
rnacentral:rRNA from 1 species